AACGAACGCUGGCGGCAGGCUUAACACAUGCAAGUCGAGCGCCCCGCAAGGGGAGCGGCAGACGGGUGAGUAACGCGUGGGAAUCUACCUUUUGCUACGGAAUAACGCAGGGAAACUUGUGCUAAUACCGUAUGUGCCCUUUGGGGGAAAGAUUUAUCGGCAAAGGAUGAGCCCGCGUUGGAUUAGCUAGUUGGUGGGGUAAAGGCCUACCAAGGCGACGAUCCAUAGCUGGUCUGAGAGGAUGAUCAGCCACAUUGGGACUGAGACACGGCCCAAACUCCUACGGGAGGCAGCAGUGGGGAAUAUUGGACAAUGGGCGCAAGCCUGAUCCAGCCAUGCCGCGUGAGUGAUGAAGGCCUUAGGGUUGUAAAGCUCUUUCACCGGUGAAGAUAAUGACGGUAACCGGAGAAGAAGCCCCGGCUAACUUCGUGCCAGCCGCCGCCGUAAUAC
rnacentral:rRNA from 1 species